rnacentral:rRNA from 1 species
AGUGAACGCUGGCGGCAGGCCUAAUACAUGCAAGUCGAACGGCAGCACAGCAGAGCUCGCUCUGUGGGUGGCGAGUGGCGGACGGGUGAGGAAUACAUGGGAAUCUGCCCAGUCGUGGGGGAUAACGUAGGGAAACUUACGCUAAUACCGCAUGCGCCCUUCGGGGGAAAGCCGGGGACCUUCGGGCCUGGCGCGAUUGGAUGAGCCCAUGUCGGAUUAGCUAGUUGGCGGGGUAAAGGCCCACCAAGGCGACGAUCCGUAGCUGGUCUGAGAGGAUGAUCAGCCACACUGGAACUGAGACACGGUCCAGACUCCUACGGGAGGCAGCAGUAGGGAAUAUUGGACAAUGGGCGCAAGCCUGAUCCAGCCAUGCCGCGUGAGUGAAGAAGGCCUUCGGGUUGUAAAGCUCUUUUGUCCGGAAAGAAAAACCUUGGGUUAAUACCCUGAGGUUCUGACGGUACCGGAAGAAUAAGCACCGGCUAACUUCGUGCCAGCAGCCGCCGUAA